rnacentral:lncRNA from 1 species
GCUCCGAUUCGACCCCUAGCCUGGGAACCUCCAUGUGCUACAGGUUUGGCCUUAAAAAGCCAAAAGCCAAAAAAAAAAAAAAAAAAACAGGAUCCAGCACUGUCACUGCAGCAGCUUGGGUUGCUGCUAUGGUGUGGGUUUGAUCACUGGCCUGGGAACGUCCACGUGCCUUGGGUGUGGCCUAAAAUAAAAGGAAAUAAAAUAGAGAGAAGGAGUCCCUACAAGUCCUAUGGGUAUUAAAAGGAUGGCAAGGAAAUACGACAAACUUUAUGGCAGGAAAAUUUACAACACAGAUGAAAGAGACACAUGCCUGGGACAGAACAAGUCACUGAAACUUAUUCAAGCCAAAAUAGACCCAAAUAACCUUGCAAAACCUCUAACAAAGAAAGCUCUUGGCCCAGAUGACACGUUAUGAAUUAUCAAAGUCCCCCAGUAACUAGAGGAGGCAGGCACACUUCUUAGUUCAUUUAUGAGGCCAGCACCACCCUGGUACCCAAGCUAGACAAAGUCUAGGGACCGAUAUCCGUCAUGAAGUAGAAAAUUUUAGCCAAUCAAACCAGCAACAUGCAAAAGGGGUUCUGCCUCCUAAUCAGAUGGGGUUUAUCCCAGGGAUGCAGGGCUGGUUUAACAUUCACAGCCAAUCGUUAUAAUUCCCUUUAUUGACAAACCAAAAAGAACACCACUCAGUGGUGACUAUCUCACUGGUGAAAAAAAAAGCAUUUAAUACUCAUUUGCGGUUUAAGAACGUCUCUGAGGAGUUCUCCUGUGGCCCAGUGGGUUAGGAUCCAGCAUUGUCACCGCAGCGGCUAGAGUCACUGCUGUGGCGUGGGUUUGAUUCCCGGCCCAGGCGCUUCCACAUGCCACAGGCUCUGCCGAAAAAAAGAAAAAGUCUCAGAAAACUAGAGCUUGCUCUGUCUAAUAAAGGGCAUCUAUAAAAACCCUGUAACUACCGUUCUAGUUAAUGGGGGAGACUGAAGUUUUCCUUCUAGAUCAGCAACAAGGCCAGGACGAGUGCUCUCACCGCCCUAUUCAGCAUCAUACCGGGAAAGGAAGGCCAGGAAAGGAAGAAAAGGCACACAGAAUGGGAACAAAAGAGCGGCAUUAUCUUCAUUCACGGAUGGCACCGUGGCCUAUGUGGAAAACCCUACGAAAUCCACAAAACCCUUGCUGGAACCGGCCUUCUCGUCGGAAACCUCCAAGGACCCUCGUUCCCGCCCACCCUGCCGACCCCGUGCCUCGCCAAAGGAUAUGCGUUGUAAUCAGUUCCCACUUGUCCGACGUCCAAGUGACAAGGUUCAGGUGACGUGGUUUCCCCUUCUGGCCUUUCCUGGAAGGAUGACCUCGGGGCCGAGCGGAAGCCGCUGCUGGGUUCGGGGGGGACGACUGUGGGGCCAGAGCCAGACCAGCUUUUGUGAGCUGACUGGAAGCCCGGGGGUCUCUCUGACAUGGAGGUGACUGACCAGUGUGGACGUCGGGUGGACCACGCCCUGGAGGUCAGGGUGCACGUUUGCCGUCGGAUAUUGUGCUCCUGCAGGAGGGCCCUCUUACCCCCGAAGCCCCUGGACAACGAGCAGCUGGCAGAGAGCACUAAUGGGGUGGCGCUGGUUCAUCCGAGGCUGAGGACAGAGCCCGUCCCACAGAGUGACCUCCCAUGACCUGGGCCCUCUCCCGUUCUCCCGUGUCCUGACUCCGGGUGGUCCAGGACCUGCCUUUGGUUCUGCACCGACCGCCCCCCUUCUGUGCACCCGGUCUUGGGGUCUGUUGCAUGAGGUGACUGAGUGACAGCUUCUGUUUGUAUUAAUCCAGCCAUGACCAGAAGGCCUCCCUCUGCCAUUGCUUCUGCGGGCCUGGGAGGCCUUUUAAAGUGCUGGCUGCAGAGAGCAAGUCCAGCCAUCACGUUAGGAAGUUGACAAAUUUAGCUCUUGAUUCCCAGCUCUGGGUGGGCAGGCAGUUUACCCUCCUGGGCAGUAGUGGCUCCGUGUGCUGGUAACGACUAGUCGGUUAACGCCAAGCCAGCGCCAAUCUCGUCCUUUUUAUAUUUACAGUCACGAUUUAUUAAAAGCGAUGCUGCUUAAAUAUAUGAAGGGAACACUGCAGUCAUUGGUUUUCAAAUUAAAAUUACU